rnacentral:piRNA from 1 species
UCUCAUAACCAUUUACAUCCU